UACAGAGGAUGCAAGCGUUAUCCGAGAUGAUUGGGCGUAAAGCGUUUGUAGGUGGUUUAUUAAGUCUUCUGUCAAAGCUCAGGGCUUAACCCUGUUUAGGCAGUAGAAACUAAUAGGCUAGAGUGCGGAAGGGGCAACUGGAAUUCUCGGUGUAGCGGUGAAAUGCGUAGAUAUCGAGAGGAACACCUGCGGCGAAGGCGGGUUGCUGGGCCGACACUGACGCUGAUGCGCGAAAGCCAGGGGAGCGAACGGG
rnacentral:rRNA from 1 species